rnacentral:tRNA from 1 species
UGUCUUAUAUUCUAAUUAUGAUAUAAAAUUGCAAAUUUUAAGGUAUAGAAUAAUUCUAUUAAGGCUU